rnacentral:rRNA from 1 species
UACGUAGGGUCCGAGCGUUGUCCGGAAUUAUUGGGCGUAAAGGGCUCGUAGGCGGUUUGUCACGUCGGGAGUGAAAACUCAGGGCUCAACCCUGAGCGUGCUUCCGAUACGGGCAGACUAGAGGUAUGCAGGGGAGAACGGAAUUCCUGGUGUAGCGGUGGAAUGCGCAGAUAUCAGGAGGAACACCGGUGGCGAAGGCGGGUCUCUGGGCCGAUAUUGACGCUGAGGCGCGAAAGCUAGGGGAGCAAACAGG